AUUUUUAUAGCUUAAUUAAGAGUUUAAUAUUGAAAAUAUUAAGGUGAAUAUUUUCUAAAAAUA
rnacentral:tRNA from 1 species